AAGCAGGGGAUCGUAAGACCUUGCGCUCUUUGAGCGGCCGAUGCCUGAUUAGCUAGUUGGUGGGGUAAUGGCUUACCAAGGCUACGAUCAGUAGUUGGUCUGAGAGGACGACCAGCCACACUGGGACUGAGACACGGCCCAGACUCCUACGGGAGGCAGCAGUGGGGAAUUUUGGACAAUGGGCGAAAGCCUGAUCCAGCAAUGCCGCGUGAGUGAAGAAGGCCUUCGGGUUGUAAAGCUCUUUCAGCCGAGAAGAAAAGGUUGUGACUAAUAAUCACAAUUUAUGACGGUAUCGAUAGAAUAAGCACCGGCUAACUACGUGCCAGCAGCCGCGGUAAUACGUAGGGUGCAAGCGUUAAUCGGAAUUACUGGGCGUAAAGGGUGCGCAGGCGGCUUUGUAAGUCAGAUGUGAAAUCCCCGGGCUUAACCUGGGAAUUGCGUUUGAAACUAUAAAGCUAGAGU
rnacentral:rRNA from 1 species